GACGAACGCUGGCGGCGUGCUUAACACAUGCAAGUCGAACGGAAAGGCCCUGCUUUUGUGGGGUGCUCGAGUGGCGAACGGGUGAGUAACACGUGAGUAACCUGCCCUUGACUUUGGGAUAACUUCAGGAAACUGGGGCUAAUACCGGAUAGGAGCUCCUGCUGCAUGGUGGGGGUUGGAAAGUUUCGGCGGUUGGGGAUGGACUCGCGGCUUAUCAGCUUGUUGGUGGGGUAGUGGCUUACCAAGGCUUUGACGGGUAGCCGGCCUGAGAGGGUGGCCAGCCACAUUGGGAGUGAGAUACGGCCCAGACUCCUACGGGAGGCAGCAGUGGGGAAUAUUGCACAAUGGGCGGAAGCCUGAUGCAGCAACGCCGCGUGCGGGAUGACGGCCUUCGGGUUGUAAACCGCUUUCGCCUGUGACGAAGCGUGAGUGACGGUAAUGGGUAAAGAAGCACCGGCUAACUACGUG
rnacentral:rRNA from 1 species